rnacentral:lncRNA from 1 species
UGCAAUCAAUGUACAACCAACUCAUAGUAACAACUCAUAUCUCUAGGUUUGAAGAAUAUAAGAUAUUAUCGUCUCAUGAUCACUCGUGAUAAAAUCCAUGAAGUGAUUCCAAUGAGCACGGGUUGAAUCCAAUACUCAGAACUUAUGAGCACUCAUGAGUGUUGUAGCCCUUUGUCCAACACCUUAGACCUCUACAAGCCAACCCAUGACAGUCUUAAUUCAUAUCUACUUCCAACAUAUGACCGACUGUGGAUGGUUUGAAUAACUUAGUCAUUCUGGAAGAAUAACCUAGUUUAUUCUGGAAGUCAAAACAUGCAAAAUGAAACACAAGAAUAAUUGAAUCCAAUAUGGUAUCAAAACCUAUGAACAUAAAUAAAACACCUUUUAUUUAUCACCAUAUGAUUACACAUUAUUCAUUGUAUACUGUUUCAGCUAUCAACUUUAUUCUUGAAUUUAAAACAUAGUUGUCCCAUGCUCCAAGCAUGUACACUAUGUUUUCUAAACACUAGUCAUGCCAUACACGAAGUAUGCAUACUAUGUUUGUCUAUGAUCUUUACUCUGUGAAAUAGAUCAAUCGAGCAUAACUCCAAUGUUCCUCUUUUCACUGUCCCAAAUCCUUACUGCAAAUGCAAGAAUUCCAAAUCCAUGCCAUUUAUUGAAAUCUGUUAGAUUCUAAACUUAUAUUGUUGAGAGAAAAACUUUGAGACACACUUGAACAAAAAUUAGAACAAGUAUAUAGCUGAAUAGUUAAUCUCAAGGAUCUGUUAGCUCAACAAUAAUAUUAGAAGUUAGAAGUUAGUGAGUUAGAUGCGGAAAGUAAAUAAAUGUAAAUGACAACAAUUGUUAUAUCAAGUAUACACAAAAGCAGAUUCAUAACAAGGAUUGCAUUCAAACCAAGUUAGUAAGUGAGAUCUAGCUUAGUGAUUAAGUCUCAAAUACUUGCUUCGGAGAGAGGUUAUACUCAAAUAUGUUUCAGUAAUAAUUGAGAAUAAGAAGUGAGGAGUAGAGAGAUAGAGAAGAUAACUUUUGAGUAAUGUAUUCCGAAUAGAUCGUAAGUUAUUGUUUUGAAUACAUGAGAAUGAGCUCUUAUUUAUAGAGACUCAUGAAGAACACUAGAUUAUAACUCUAUGGUAGCCAUGCAAUGCAUACUGGACAAUAGAGUGAAUUACCAUAUGACAAGUAAAUUAAUCUAGCUAUGAUGACUGCGGUAGUAAAAGACUUUGAUUGCGGUUUCUAAAGAAGAAACUAACUGCGGGUGUUGAAGUGAUUGAGGUAGCAUUAUUGGAUGCGGUAGCUGAAGUUAAAGAGGGUCACUUUCAUGAUUCAACAAUUUCCCCCUAUGUGGCCUCUUUAACUUUGGUUCAGCUAUCAAGUUUGAGGAACUUGAUCAUAAUCCACCUAAAUUUUCUGACGUUUUCCAGCCAUGUGAUUCUUCUUGUGAUCUGGAACUUGACUUCUUCAGUAUUAUGCUUUGAACUUUCAACUGCGGUUCGGCAUAUGUCAAGUUGUUUCUUGGUCAGGCGAUGCAUGGCAGUCAAAGGAAUGAAAUACUUGACAUUGUGUGUCUUUCUUUUGAAUAUGACUCCAAGAUCAGGAAAGUUUGUUGCACCUAGAGAUCUUUCUUCGAAGCCUUCGAUAGGCAUUGGCACAGGAUCAAGAGGUGGGAUAUCAAACUUCUUGAGGAUGGUGGGGUAGAUAUCAGCAUCUAUCUUGGGAAAGUCGCACACCGUAUCCCUUAGAAAAGAAUUGGCUUUUUUCAAGCGCAAUCUUCAUCUUGGGGUGCUUCUCAGACAUAUUUUGAAACACCUUGCCAAUGAGGAAGAUUUCAUCCGGAUUCAUCCAAGGGAAGUCUGCGUGGGUGCGGAUGUAGUCAUGCUCCCUUUUGGUGAGGGUGUACUGGAUGAAGUCAGCCUUCAUGAAUUUUCGGAUCUUGUAAGUCUUCAUUGUGGAAAGUUUAUCAUUGGACUAUAUGUGCUCAACAGGAGAAGCAUGCUUAGCAUAGAAUUGGCUAAGUCUCUCGAACUCCAUAGGUAGUCUUUUGUGAUCUGGAAGGCUUCGGUCAAACUGCUCAAAUACAGUGAAGUACUUAGCAUUUGGAGAAAUUGGUAUAUCCCAGUACCCGUUUGAUGGGGGUUAAGCGUAUGUAAGGUGCGGUCUGUAAUCUUCAUCUAGCAAGCGGCGGUGCGGAUUGACCCAUGAAUUAAUCAAGGAUUCGUCUAUCAUAGUGUCGAAUCCGCAUUCUCUCCAAAUUAAUUCUGUCAGCUUGGAUGCUUUCCAAUCAUGCUUUCUUUGGAUAGUGGCAGGAGAGUCCGUGGUGCUUGGAGAAGACAUGUAUUCAGCCAUGUUCUUGGAGUGCGGAGGAGUCUCUGGCUUUUUAGGAGAGACUUCCCAUGGUGGAGUCGUAUGUGGUGGAGUAUGAUGGGAUGGUCGUGGUGAAGGGUGCAGUGUGGGGAUUUUUCAGUUGGGGGGCUUUGAUGUUGGGAGAUGGAUUGAUUCGAGUGAUGGACUUCUUCUUCUUCAGUUCCCCCCUCUAGAGGAAUGCAACGCAGGUGCUUCCUCAAGCCAUUGCUUAAGUCCAUCAACCUUGGAACAAACUUCUUGAAAUUGAGGUUUGAGGGCUUCUGCCAGUUAGGAAUUGUUAGGAGUAGAGGAGCUGAAGAGUAGUUUGUGAAUUUCCUUUGUGAGUUGGAGGAUCUCUAGACCGUGAAAGUUGGAGGACAGGGAUUUCUGCAGUCUGUUGAUGGUGGCGUGAAGAACAGAGAUAGUGGACUCAUAAGCAGUAUGAGUCUCAUCUAUCAAUUUCUGAUACUGAGAAGCUUGAUCCACGAUAGCUGCCUGGAUGUUUGUUUUGAUUGCGGUCACCUCAGUGAUGAGGCAUUCUGCUGCAGCCAUGAAUUCUUUGUGGUCAGCCUUUCGGUUGUUGUCAAGGGACCGUAUCCCCAUCUCUACUUUUAGAGAGAUUCGUUCAGCAGCCAUGCGUUCCUUUGUUUCUAGACGUUCUAUUCUUUCAAUCAGUGACUGCAGUCCCGGGGUGUCUUCGGAUUGCGUUUGAGUAGGCUUGACCGCAGCCAGAAUUUGAUCAACUUUGGCUUGAAGGCUCAUGAACUCCUUCUGGGUGACAACAUUCUUCUUCUUUUUCUUCUUCUUUUGAGGCUUGGAAGUUGAAUGAUGAGAACCUCUGGACUACUCUUCUUCAUCAAACAUCAUUAGGUCAUCAUCUGAAGGGAUUGGCUUGUUGACUUCUUGGAUAUCUUCAUCAUCAAAACCAAAUGUGGGAGCUGAACUGAGCUCGAUUUCGGAUCCUUCCUCUUGUGAUGGAAUGACUGUAGGUGUGUGAGUUGGUGUGGGAGUUGAAGUAAGAGGAACUUUGGAGGUACCUACGGCUGCACCAGAAGCUUGUGCCUUGAGAAUUGUCUCUGCCAUCUCAUCCAUCCAGUUCUGAACCUUUUGAAUGGUGGCUACGGUAUAGGCAUUGCUGAUGGCAUUUUCCCAAUACUGGGCCGUAGAUUGAAUUUCUUGCUCCUUCAGUUGUUUCUCCUUGAUCUGUUGUUCCUUGCGGUCUUGGAAUGCCCUUUUGAAAGCAACAUACUUCUUCUUCUCAGACUCAGUAACCGUAUUGUACUGUAACCAAGAUUCACUAGAUGCAUCACCGUCAAAUCCUUCAAAGCGCACCGAAGUGUCCUUCGGGUUCACGGAUCCUUGCACAUUUGUGCUCAUCAUUCCUAAACCACCUGUAAUAGAUGUAAGCAUAGUAGGAUUUCCUGAGCUUCCUCGGUCUCCUUGACCCAUCGUCAAGUCUGGCAUCGGCUCAGUUCUGGCAUGGGCGGAAGAAGUGCCCUACGGGUGGGAAGGUGUUUGAAGUGUUUGGAUGAUAUUAGAAAGGAUGGAGCGCAACUCCUCGGGAGAAAAGAAAUGCAGUCGGGAAGCCCUAGAGACCUUAGGGCGAGCACCAAUAUCAUCCUCUUGGGAGUGAACUGGGGGGAGUCUCCACGUAGUUGAGAAUUAGACUCACUUUCUGAGUCUGAUUGGAAAAUGAUGGUGGCGAUGAAUGGGUUUGCGGCUACCCCAAGGACUACUGGAGCCUUUUGAGAGGCUUCAGCAUUGGUCCGGUCAUGCAUAUGGAUAGUGGUAUUGGUUGUUUUCCUUUUCUUAAGGAUAAAAAUGUUGGGUUUUGAGCAUUCUAACACUUCCUAAGUGUACAUGCAACCCUAAAUACCUUGGAUCUAUGUUUUCUCUAUUAUACAUGCAAAUAAGAACAUCCAAGGUAUUAUCCUAAUCUAGCAUACAAAAACUAUGAAUGUAACAAGAUAGAAUACAUACCUCUUGAUGUAGCUUGAUGUCUUCAAGCUUUAAGAGCUUAGCCCCAAUAGUGUGGAAGCCUCAAGUGGAAUCACAAAUCACCAAGACACCUUGGAAUACUUUAGAGAAUAUGAUUACUUGGUUCUCUCUAGUGAAAUUGGCUAGCCCUUCUUUAGUGUAUCCAUACUAGUGCCAAUUUCACCAACCAAAGACAUCUUUAUAUAGUAUGGAGGAUUAGGGUUAAACCCUAAUACCCAUGACCUUUCAUUUCCUAGGAUCCAUGGGUUAAACACUCCAUGGACUAUCCAUGAAAGCUUAGCCCAACCUAAAUGAACUUGGCCCAUUCCAUAUAUAUAAGAGUCCAUAUUUAAUUAGUUCCUUUUGAUCACUUAAUUAAUUAUAAAUUAAUUCUUGAUCAAUACUAAUUAAAUAAUAUGAUUCCAUAUUAAUAUAUUAGAACUUAUAAUAUAUUAAUAUUAAUCAUAAACAUACUAUUCUCAAAAGAUUAUCCAUAUAAAUUGUGUCGGUGAAGUGCAACCCAAAUGGACCAUGCCGGGUCGGGUCAAGUACAUACCAAAUAUAGUUAUGGACUUAGACAUUAAUCCAACAGUCUCCCACUUGGAUAAGUCUAAAACUAUUAUUGCGUAUGACUUCAAACCUAACUGGCAAUCGUAGCUCUUAAAGCUGCUGUCGAACUCUGAUCUUGUCAACGAACUUGUCCAUUAGAUAAGGGAUCAUAUAUUCCUCCAUUCUAGAUAUCAUAUGGACUGAGACAUGGAUUAUAAUCAUUCUCUCUGUCCAUUUGUUGUUUCCCGAUUUCCGAUUUAUGACGACUGACUAAUUGAACAAAUCAAAUCAGUCCUGGCCCGGCCGAGCACUUCCAUUUGUCAUCAUCAAAUCAUCGAGGGGCCCACAGAUAUCGCUUUUAUCCCGAAGGUAAAAGGAAUGGAUAAACUUCGACUCAUAUGGCUUGUUCUACUACUUGUUGAAUCAUACACAAAGGCACGUUUUAUAGCACCGAGUUACCAAAUGCGUUUUCGUGCAAUCAAUGUACAACCAACUCAUAGUAACAACUCAUAUCUCUAGGUUUGAAGAAUAUAAGAUAUUAUCGUCUCAUGAUCACUCGUGAUAAAAUCCAUGAAGUGAUUCCAAUGAGCGCGGGUUGAAUCCAAUACUCAGAACUUAUGAGCACUCAUGAGUGUUGUAGCCCUUUGUCCAACACCUUAGACCUCUACAAGCCAACCCAUGACAGUCUUAAUUCAUAUCUACUUCCAACAUAUGACCGACUGUGGAUGGUUUGAAUAACUUAGUCAUUCCGGAAGAAUAACCUAGUUUAUUCGGGAAGUCAAAACAUGCAAAGUGAAACACAAUAAUAAUUGAAUCCAAUAUGGUAUCAACCCUUUGAACAUAAAUAAAACACCUUUUAUUUAUCACCAUAUGAUUACACAUUAUUCAUUGUAUACUGUUUCAGCUAUCAACUUUAUUCUUGAAUUUAAAACAAUAGUUGUCCCAUGCUCCAAGCAUGUACACUAUGUUUUCUUAAACACUAGUCAUGCCACACACCAAGUAUGCAUACUAUGUUUGUCUAUGAUCUUUACUUUGUGAACUAGAUCAAUUGAACAUAACUUCAAUGAUUCUCUUUUCACACUCCCAAAUCCUUACUGCAAAUGCAAGAAUUCCAAAUUCAUGCCAUUUACUG